rnacentral:rRNA from 1 species
CCUACGGGAGACAACAGUGAGGAAUAUUGGUCAAUGGACGAGAGUCUGAACCAGCCAAGUAGCGUGAAGGAUGACUGCCCUAUGGGUUGUAAACUUCUUUUAUAUGGGAAUAAAACAGGGUAUGCAUACCCUCUUGUAUGUACCAUAUGAAUAAGGAUCGGCUAACUCCGUGCCAGCAGCCGCGGUAAUACGGAGGAUCCGCGCGUUAUCCGGAUUUAGUGGGUUUAAAGGGAGCGUAGGUGGAUUGUGAAGUCAGUUGUGAAAGUUUGCGGCUCAACCGUAAAAUUGCAAUUGAUACUGGCAGACUUGAGUACAGUUGAGGUAGGCGGAAUUCGUGGUGUAGCGGUGAAAUGCUUAGAUAUCACGAAGAACUCCGAUUGCGAAGGCAGCAUACUAAACUGCCACUGACAUUGAUGCUCGAAAGUGUGGGUAUCAAACAGGAUUAGAUACCCGUGUAGUC